rnacentral:rRNA from 1 species
UCGAACGCGAAAGCCCCGCAAGGGGCAAGUAGAGUGGCAAACGGGUGAGUAACACGUGGGUGACCUGCCUUCGAGCGGGGGAUAACGUCCCGAAAGGGACGCUAAUACCGCAUAACAUCCUGCCUUUGAAGAGGUGGAGAUCAAAGCUGGGGAUCGCAAGACCCGGCACUUGAAGAGGGGCCCGCGCCUGAUUAGCUAGUUGGUGGGGUAACGGCCUACCAAGGCAACGAUCAGUAUCCGGCCUGAGAGGGCGGACGGACACACUGGGACUGAGACACGGCCCAGACUCCUACGGGAGGCAGCAGUGGGGAAUUGUUCGCAAUGGGCGCAAGCCCGACGACGCAACGCCGCGUGGAGGAUGAAGAUUUUCGGAUCGUAAACUCCUGUCGAAUGGGACGAACAGAUUGCGGGUUAACAGCCCGUGGUCCUGACGGUACCGUUAAAGGAAACCCCGGCUAACUCCGUGCCAGCAGCCGCGGUAAUACGGGGGGGGUAAGCGUUG